GGUAAGGGUGAAAAGGUGCGGUAAGAGCGCACCGCGCCGCUGGCAACAGCGGUGGCAGGGUAAACCCCACCCGGAGCAAGACCAAAUAGGGACCCAUGGGCGUGGCCCGCGCCGGGUCCGGGUAGGUCGCUUGAGGCCCGUGGCGACGCGGGUCCCAGAUGAAUGGCUGUCCACGACAGAACCCGGCUUAUCGACCGAUCCACCUU
rnacentral:RNase_P_RNA from 1 species